AGGACGAACGCUGGCGGCGUGCUUAACACAUGCAAGUGGAGCGACGAACCAGGGCUUGCCCUGGGGCAGAGCCGCGAACGGGUGAGUAACACGUGGGUUACCUGCCCCGAUGACCGGGACAACCCGAGGAAACUCGGGCUAAUACCGGAUGUGCCCGCAAGGGGGAAAGGAAGCUUCGGCCUCCGCAUCGGGAUGGGCCCGCGGCCCAUUAGCUUGUUGGUGAGGUAACGGCUCACCAAGGCUUCGAUGGGUAGCUGGUCUGAGAGGACGAUCAGCCACACUGGGACUGAGACACGGCCCAGACUCCUACGGGAGGCAGCAGUGGGGAAUCUUGCGCAAUGCGCGAAAGCGUGACGCAGCAACGCCGCGUGGGGGAAGACGGCCUUCGGGUUGUAACCCCUUUCAGCAGGGACGAAGCGAAAGUGACGGUACCUGCAGAAGAAGCGCCGGCUAACUACGUGCCAGCAGCCGC
rnacentral:rRNA from 1 species